GACGAACGCUGGCGGCGUGCUUAACACAUGCAAGUCGAACGGAAAGGCCCUGCUUUUGUGGGGUGCUCGAGUGGCGAACGGGUGAGUAACACGUGAGUAACCUGCCCUUGACUUUGGGAUAACUUCAGGAAACUGGGGCUAAUACCGGAUAGGAGCUCCUGCUGCAUGGUGGGGGUUGGAAAGUUUCGGCGGUUGGGGAUGGACUCGCGGCUUAUCCGCUUGUUGGUGGGGUAGUGGCUUACCAAGGCUUUGACGGGUAGCCGGCCUGAGAGGUUGACCGGCCACAUUGGGACUAAGAUACGGCCCAGACUCCUACGGGAGGCAGCAGUGGGGAAUAUUGCACAAUGGGCGGAAGCCUGAUGCAGCAACGCCGCGUGCGGGAUGACGGCCUUCGGGUUGUAAACCGCUUUCGCCUGUGACGAAGCGUGAGUGACGGUAAUGGGUAAAGAAGCACCGGCUAACUACGUG
rnacentral:rRNA from 1 species